rnacentral:rRNA from 1 species
AUUGAACGCUGGCGGCAUGCCUUACACAUGCAAGUCGAACGGUAACAGGUCUUCGGAUGCUGACGAGUGGCGAACGGGUGAGUAAUACAUCGGAACGUGCCCGAUCGUGGGGGAUAACGAGGCGAAAGCUUUGCUAAUACCGCAUACGAUCUACGGAUGAAAGCGGGGGAUCUUCGGACCUCGCGCGGACGGAGCGGCCGAUGGCAGAUUAGGUAGUUGGUGGGAUAAAAGCUUACCAAGCCGACGAUCUGUAGCUGGUCUGAGAGGAUGAUCAGCCACACUGGGACUGAGACACGGCCCAGACUCCUACGGGAGGCAGAGGUGGGGAAUUUUGGACAAUGGGGGAAAGCCUGAACCAGCCGUGGCGGGUGGAGGAUGAAGGCCUUCGGGUUGGAAACUGGUUUUUUAGGGAAAAAAAGCCUUCUUUUUAAAAAAAGGGGGUCUGAAGGGAACCGGAAAAAAAAGACCCGGUAAAUUAGGG